UGGGGAAUAUUGGACAAUGGGCGCAAGCCUGAUCCAGCCAUGCCGCGUGAGUGAUGAAGGCCCUAGGGUUGUAAAGCUCUUUCACCGGUGAAGAUAAUGACGGUAACCGGAGAAGAAGCCCCGGCUAACUUCGUGCCAGCAGCCGCGGUAAUACGAAGGGGGCUAGCGUUGUUCGGAUUUACUGGGCGUAAAGCGCACGUAGGCGGACUUUUAAGUCAGGGGUGAAAUCCCGGGGCUCAACCCCGGAACUGCCUUUGAUACUGGAAGUCUUGAGUAUGGUAGAGGUGAGUGGAAUUCCGAGUGUAGAAGUGAAAUUCGUAGAUAUUCGGAGGAACACCAGUGGCGAAGGCGGCUCACUGGACCAUUACUGACGCUGAGGUGCGAAAGCGGGGGGAGCAAACAGG
rnacentral:rRNA from 1 species